AUCCAGAUGACGGGUCCCAAAUAGGACGAAAUGUGAAUUCUGGAU
rnacentral:hammerhead_ribozyme from 1 species